UUGGAAUCUUCCNCAAUGGAGGAAACUCUGAUGCAGCGAUGCCGCGUGAGUGAAGAAGGCCUUUGGGUUGUAAAGCUCUUUUGUAGGGGAAGAUAAUGACUGUACCCUAAGAAUAAGGUCCGGCUAACUUCGUGCCAGCAGCCGCGGUAAUACGAAGGGACCUAGCGUAGUUCGGAAUUACUGGGCGUAAAGCGCGCGUAGGCCGUUGAGUUAGUUAAUUGUGAAAUCCCAAAGCUUAACUUUGGAACUGCAAUUAAAACUGCUCGACUAGAGUUUGAUAGAGGAAAGCGGAAUACAUAGUGUAGAGGUGAAAUUCGUAGAUAUUAUGUAGAACACCAGUUGCGAAGGCGGCUUUCUGGAUCAACACUGACGCUGAGGCGCGAAAGUAUGGGUAGCAAAGAGGAUUAGAUACCCUCGUAGUCCAUACCAUAAACGAUGAUUGCUAGAUGUUGGAAAUUUAUUUUCAGUAUCGCAGCUAACGCAUUAAGCAAGCCGCCUG
rnacentral:rRNA from 1 species